rnacentral:lncRNA from 1 species
GGAUAGGGUCCUUACAUGAUUUGUGUAAGAGAAGGGGGAGAUCGCCGGAGAUAUCGUCGGAUUUCAGGGAGAAAUCGCCGGAGAGAAGAGAGGAGUCGCGCAGAGGAAGAAGAGAGAAAUGGGGAAGAAGAAGGGGCUCGUGGUUAUAAAACCUAGGGUCCGACGGACAUUAUCCGUCGGAAUUCCGUCGGAAUUCUAAUUUCAAUUUUCGCGAAAUAUUUGCC